rnacentral:rRNA from 1 species
CCUACGGGUGGCAGCAGUGAGGAAUAUUGGUCAAUGGGCGCGAGCCUGAACCAGCCAAGUAGCGUGAAGGAUGACUGCCCUACGGGUUGUAAACUUCUUUUAUAAAGGAAUAAAGUGAGGCACUUGUGCCUUUUUGUAUGUACUUUAUGAAUAAGGAUCGGCUAACUCCGUUCCAGCAGCCGCGGUAAUACGGAGGAUCCGAGCGUUAUCCGGAUUUCUUGGGUUUAAAGGUAGCGUAGAUGGGUUGUUAAGUUCGUUGUGAAAGUUUGCGGCUCAACCGUAAAAGUGCAAUUGAUACUGGCAGACUUGAGUACAGGUGAGGUAGGCGGAAUUCGUGGUGUAGCGGUGAAAUGCUUAGAUAUCACGAAGAACUCCGAUUGCGAAGGCAGCCUACUAAACUGCCACUGACAUUGAUGCUCGAAAGUGUGGGUAUCAAACAGGAUUAGAUACCCGUGUAGUC